rfam:Salmo salar isolate Sally breed double haploid chromosome ssa12, whole genome shotgun sequence.
CCAAAGGCUCUUUUAAGAACCAUUCACAAUGCAAUAAGAGUAUUAU